rnacentral:rRNA from 1 species
GUUUACGGUCAUGCCACCCUAAACAAGCCUGAUGUCUGAUCUCGGAAGCUAAGCAGGGUCGGAUCUGGUUAUUACUUGGAUGGGAGACCACCUAGGAAGACCAGGUGCUGUAGGCA